rnacentral:rRNA from 1 species
GGACUACUAGGGUUUCUAAUCCUGUUUGCUCCCCUUGCUUUCGCUCCUCAGCGUCAGGUAUAAACUAGAAAAGCGCCUUCGCCACUGGUGUUCUUCCACAUAUCUACGCAUUUCACCGCUACACGUGGAAUUCCCUUUUCUCCGUCCAUCCUCUAGAAUGGGAGUUUUAGAUGCGGGUCCGAGGUUGAGCCCCGGGCUUUCACAUCUAACUUUCCACUCCGCCUACGUGCUCUUUACGCCCAAUAAAUCCGAUUAACGCUUGCACCCUCCGUAUUACCGCGGCUGCUGGCAC